rnacentral:rRNA from 1 species
UACGUAGGUGGCAAGCGUUGUCCGGAAUUAUUGGGCGUAAAGGGCUCGCAGGCGGUCUUCUAAGUCUGAUGUGAAAUCUUGCGGCUUAACCGCAAGCGGUCAUUGGAAACUGGAGGACUUGAGUACAGAAGAGGAGAGUGGAAUUCCACGUGUAGCGGUGAAAUGCGUAGAGAUGUGGAGGAACACCAGUGGCGAAGGCGACUCUCUGGUCUGUAACUGACGCUGAGGAGCGAAAGCGUGGGGAGCGAACAGG